rnacentral:rRNA from 1 species
AUUGAACGCUGGCGGCAUGCUUUACACAUGCAAGUCGAACGGCAGCGCGGGCUUCGGCCUGGCGGCGAGUGGCGAACGGGUGAGUAAUACAUCGGAACGUGCCCAGUAGUGGGGGAUAGCUCGGCGAAAGCCGGAUUAAUACCGCAUACGACCUGAGGGUGAAAGCGGGGGAUCUUCGGACCUCGCGCUUUGGGAGCGGCCGAUGGCAGAUUAGCUAGUUGGUGGGGUAAAGGCCUACCAAGGCGACGAUCUGUAGCUGGUCUGAGAGGACGACCAGCCACACUGGGACUGAGACACGGCCCAGACUCCUACGGGAGGCAGCAGUGGGGAAUUUUGGACAAUGGGCGAAAGCCUGAUCCAGCAAUGCCGCGUGUGUGAUGAAGGCCUUCGGGUUGUAAAGCACUUUUGGCGGGAACGAAAAGGACUGUGCCAAUACCACGGUUCGAUGACGGUACCCGCAGAAUAAGCACCGGCUAACUACGUG